UGUUUGCUUUAACAUUUUUUUCUAGCUGUUUGUGUAUAUCACAAAUAUCUUCUAAUAUUUUUCUAAAUUGGGCAAAGGCUACAUACAGAAUUGGAGCAGUUUUACAGUCACAACAGUUGUAGUUCACUGUGGCUUCAAGUGGUGAAGUAAAUGAAGAACAACGGAUUUGAGUUGAGUAAAUAUAAAUUCAAACUUGAGACAGAUCCAAUUAGAGUCUUCAAGAGCAGCAAAAACAGUGUGGACACCUGAAAUCACUAUUGGCAGAGGAUGUAAGUGGAGCAUUUAUUGAAAGGCGUUAUGUUAUAGUAGCGCACCAUUUCAAUGAGGACUUCAGAUGGCACAGGAAAAUUUGAGCGAGAACAUUUGCUUAAUUAGACACAACCUGUUUAAUCUUCAGCGCAAUGCAAUAUUAUGUUUAAAUUGGAAGAGAUUCUUUGCAGUAUGAUGAGUGACAUUAAAUUGGAGUCAGUCUUGCGGUGUAUCUGUAUGAUUAAACUGAAUCACAAUAUUUUUAUAGAAGGAAUAUAGUUAACUGCACCACACGGUAAUGCACUAUAACUAAAGAGCA